rnacentral:lncRNA from 1 species
GCCGUGAAUGUCAAGUUCCAGUAAGGAUAAUAUAUUGGUCAGCUCACAAGUCACAAGAGGAGGGGUACGUGGCACCAAUACUUGCUUAUCUUCUUAUGUCGAUGACAGCUGAAAGCCCCUUCCCUGAUAUGAAUGCAGAAAGCCACGACCCACAGAAACACAACACAAUCCCGCUGGAAAACGAUAACCCUAAAAGUAAAAUCCAAUAAAUUAAUAAUUACAAAUAAUAACAUACAGACCCAAGUGAUCUCACAUGAUCUUUGUAAUGCUGGAGGGAUCAUCUACUUAAUCUGUAUUUUAUAAUUAUAUGACGCGUUUGUUGAUAGUUGAAUUAUUACUUAAGUGUUUGAUUAACAUACUUAUUUCUUAUUGGUCAUAAAUUACAUGAUUUAUAAAUGUCAUGUAAAAAUAUGAUUUAUAUAACAUUUUUUUCUUCUGUAAAUAGAAAUAGAAUUAUUAUUCAUCAAUUAAUUAAUUAAAAUAUUUUAUCAUGCAUGCAAUGCAUGGUCAUGGAUGUUGGGUAGGUACAAAAUUAUUUUACAUAUAUAAAUACAGACAAAUCUAAACUAAAAUAUCAGAUUUAUCAGAUUAAUAAGGGAGGGAGAGGGAUUGGAGUUGAAAACUUAUUGAAUCUUGAUGAUGACAAUAUGUUGAGUUUCUGAAAGAAGGGACACGUACCCAUGUUGAUAAACUGAGGACGGCACCGAAUCC